CACACGACUCUCGGCAACGGAUAUCUAGGCUCUCGCAUCGAUGAAGAACGUAGCAAACUGCGAUACUUGGUGUGAAUUGCAGAAUCCCGUGAACCAUCGAGUCUUUGAACGCAAGUUGCGCCCGAAGCCAUUAGGCCGAGGGCACGUCUGCCUGGGCGUCACGC
rnacentral:rRNA from 17 species